UGGGUCUGCGGCCUAUCAGGUUGUAGUGGGGGUAACGGCCCCACUAGCNUACGACGGGUACGGGCCCUGAGAGGGGGAGCCCGGAGAUGGACUCUGAGACACGAGUCCAGGCCCUACGGGGCGCAGCAGGCGCGAAACCUCCGCAAUGCUCGAAAGAGCGACGGGGGGACUCCGAGUGCCUACGCUUUGCGUAGGCUUUUCCCGAGUCUACAAAGCUCGGGGAAUAAGGGCUGGGUAAGACGGGUGCCAGCCGCCGCGGUAAUACCCGCAGCUCGAGUGGUGGCCGCUUUUAUUGGGCCUAAAGCGUCCGUAGCCGGUCUGGUAAAUGCCUGGGUAAAUCGUAGGGCUUAACCCUACGGCCCCCAGGUAGACUGCCAGACUUGGGACCGGAGGAGGGAGAGGGUACUCCAGGGGUAGGGGUGAAAUCAGCAGGGUGAGCCAAUGAUAGGCUUGCCUUGUAAGUCACAAUCCUGUAAUCCCUGGAGGACUACCGGUGGCGAAGGCGCUCUCCUAGGACGGGUCCGACGGUGAGGGACGAAAGCCAGGGGAGCAAACCGGAUUAGAUACCCGGGUAGUCCUGGCCGUAAACGAUGUGGACUUGGUAUUGGGAUGGCUACGGGCUGUCCCAGUGUCGUAGGGA
rnacentral:rRNA from 1 species